rnacentral:rRNA from 1 species
CGGCGGACGGGUGAGUAACGCGUGGGUAACCUGCCUCAUACAGGGGGGAGUAACAGUUGGAAACGGCUGCUAAUACCGCAUAAGCGCACAGUACCGCAUGGUACCGUGUGAAAAACUCCGGUGGUAUGAGAUGGACCCGCGUCUGAUUAGCUAGUUGGUGGGGUAACGGCCUACCAAGGCGACGAUCAGUAGCCGACCUGAGAGGGUGACCGGCCACAUUGGGACUGAGACACGGCCCAAACUCCUACGGGAGGCAGCAUG